rnacentral:snoRNA from 1 species
AUCCCAUGAUGAGGACAGACACAAAUGUACUCAUUGAGACAUUCCCAUGCUCCAGGAAUCGUCUCGUCGGACUGUUGCUGGAAGCUUGAAAUCUUCCCACGCAAGGC